GGCAAUGUUCUCUCUCGCAUUGCGGCUUACAUUGUCGAACGGAUGGAAACCUCGUCGCGCCGGGCAAGAACUCCGAGACGUUCGCACAGCGCGCCAUCGGACGUCAUAACGUCGAACUAGCGGUAGCAGUAACGCCGCUGAUUUCACCCCCCUACGCGCUCUCUCAGCCGGGAUCGCUGCCUCUCUCGGAGCUCGGCCUCGGAGCAGCGCUCGGCCUCCGCCGAAAGUGCAUCGAAGAUGGCGACCGGAGGGUAGGGUCGAGCCAGAGGCGCGCUCCGCAAGGCAAUCUCUUCCCCGGUGGAGACGGCGCUGGUGAUAUCGGGGCGCGUCGGCCGCUUCGAGUACGGUGGUGGCGGGUUCCUCGGUUUUCCGCUAGUUCAGGACGUCGGGGUACGCAGUGGCUAAAACGCACUAACAUACAUACACAUACAUGCACACACACACACAUACACAUAGAACUCGUUCGUUCAUCUAUGCGGCUAUUGAAACAGCGAUUAACGCGCUCAUGUAAUACCCACCUACUUUGCUCGUCAACGUCUAGUCAAGGAGAAAGAGGGGGAGAAUAAAAUAUAAAAUGAGUCAGCGAAAAGGGAAACGCUCCGAUCGAGAUAAGAGUCGGACACGUGUGUGAGGCCAAAAAUGCAAUUUUAAUGUACAUAAAUAUAAAAUCAAUAUAUAUAUAUAUAUAUAUACAUAUAUAAAUAUUACACGUAUAUAUCCGAGCAUACCAAAGAAGAAAAAGAUCGAUCCUACGUAUCGAUAAGUUCCUCCCCGCUCGGUCGUGACGAAACACAUACACACACACACACAGAGAGACGAGUGAGAGAGACCGUUGGAGAUUAGACGACGGGCAAUUAGAUGACGGAAAAAUUAUCCGCGAGGCUCACGGAUCGGCGUCGGAUCAAUCAACGAUAAGAAACGGCGACUCGAGAGAGGCCCGAGAGACCGAAGUGUCGCCAAAGUACUCGAGAUAUUCGAGAUCUCGAGGUACUCGAGAUUACGCUCGAGAGAGCGAGGAGAGCGGCUCGGAGAGAGAAGCGCGUUAUUCUAGCGGCGGAUUAACGCGAGCGUGCGGCUGAAAGUGCCGUGCGAAAAUCGAUCGGGACGUAUCGCUAAACGCGUAUCAUCGGGGACAUCGAUCCGGCACGACGGGGUGAUGUCGACGGCUCGAAAAUUGCAACGGGCUGCUCGAAUCUCGCGGUAACAUCGAUGCGGUGGCGGAUCGCUCGGUCGAGUCAGCGUUUCCAAUUCGACGACCACAGGGAGCGACGUGAGCCCCGGACGUGCGCGCAGGAGGACUCGGACAUCGCGCUGGAAAGGACGUGGCACAUUCGUCGUAGGCUCUCCGCGGCGAGUUGACGCUGGACGAGACAGAAGCGCAGCGGAAACACAGGGAAGCGUCGCUCUGCCAUUAUCCGAUCGUCUCCCUCCUCCGUGCGGGAGAAUCGAAGAUUGCGCUGGCGCGGCCAAGGAUGAAAUCCUGAAGGGGGAUCUCCCAGAUCCUCGAGACUUCCUUCCGAUAGCCAUUAACUGAAUUUCGUCCACGAGCAGGCGGAGGCUAAUAGACUGCAGAGAGGCGACGAUUAAGAUAAUUGCCCCGCGCGAAAUUGCACGUUUCAGGCGAAGCUGAAGGCAACGCGCCAUUAUCGCGGCAGGUAACAAUCGAUUGAUAAGACAACGAGUGAAGUGUAACGAUAAGCAGCCGAGCAACCCGACCGACCUGCGGUUGAUGGCAGCUUGCGGAAGGAACAACGGCUUCCAAAGUGAAACAAACACACCUCGAGGAGACUCGAGGAGUAUAGGUUUGCGCUUCCCCAAGGAUCAAUGAGAUUCAGGAACACGUAGCCACGCUUCAGACGCGAGAUACUGUUCGGCGAGAUCCCUGAAAAAAUGAACGAUGAGGUGAAAUCAUAAGCGACGGUGAGGCGGCUGCAACUACGUCGGCCAAACGACGAGAAAGAAACGAAGGUGAGAGGUCACAGGCAGGGAACACAAUCGGCAGGCAGGAUAGAAAAAAGAAAGGAAAGGGUUGCUGGCAGCGGAGGGAGGCCGAGGACUCGUCUGGAAGAACGCGGAAAGGGCGACAGGGUCGCGCGAGCUGGCGGCAACGGGGGUGAGCGAGGGGUUCGCGGUAUCGAGGGAAAUACGAGAGGAAGAGCGGCAGAGAGAGAGAGA